GCACGGUUCUGCCGUGUCUUCCCUCCGCGCGAUACUCCCCAGUCCCCAAUGGUGCAGAUCGCGGCUCCUCCCCGACGGCGCGAUGGCCGCGCCCCCUCUCCCUCCCCCGGCGUGAUGCACGCAACCCCACCCCCUCGGUGCCAUGGUGCCCUCGCCUUCGCCCCCGUCAACCACGGGCGUCAAUGUCGAAGGCGUCCACAACCGCGCCCCCACCUGCCCCCGCCCACGCUCUCCCACGAUCUCUGCCGCCACGUCUCCGCGUUUGGCGGCCCGUCCUCAUCCUCAUCCGCGCUUGGCGGCCCGUCGUCAUCCUCAGGUCAGAUCUGCGUUUGGCGGCCCGUCCUCAUCCUCAUCCGCGCGCCCCCGCCCGCGAUCUCCGCUGCCGCGUCUUCACCACCCUCGCCCGUGAUCUCCGUCGCCGUCCGCACUUGGGUCAGGUCAGAUCUGCGUUUGGUGGCCAUCCCCGUCCUCAUCCUCUUCCUUGCGCCCACGCCCACUCUUCAUCCUAUUUCCGACUUGGGGGAGGACGACAAGGUCAUCGUCGAGCGUUGUGCCAGGGAACGGAGUCGCCCACCGGCAGCUCCUCACCACCGACGGGAAGCAACUCGUGGAGAUGCUCAAGCGGUCACCCUAUUUCUUCUCCACCCGCGUCCACCUCUAGGUCCGCGUGGGCGAGCAAUCCAACGAGGCACCGUUCUCCCCAUCAAGGUAACCUAGAUUUUCUCCUAUUCCCACAAAAAAUUGCAUCGGUUACCUACAUCGCACAUGGAAAUAGGAGCAACUUCUUUGGGUUUGGUCGGCUGAGAGCUACUGGUGUGCUCACCUUGUGUAUGUCGAAAUGCUCUAUAGUGAAAAUAUUGCUUGGUGAUGUGUAAAUGCCUUAUAUAUUGCUUGGUGAUGUGAAAAUUCUCCCCAUCAAGAUGAUCACUGAAGUGCAAGAUUACUGGGAAUUAGGUAUACCGCGGUGCACUCACUGAAGUACAAUUUCCCGUGCAAGAUUACUGGGAAUUGUGUUUUAUAUCCUCAGUUGGCCUACUUGUUGGUUGUGCUUGUGCUUCUGUUGGGUGCAGGACACGUGUGGUGGAGAAGAAGGGCUGCUGGCCUUGGCUUUGUGGGCAACACACUGGCUGAAGGUACGAGGGUCAUUUUGUGAUUUAGUAGAAACAUAAAUUAUAUCAGGCAUAACUCUUGGAUCUAGAUCAUCUAACACUCCAUGAAAGCCCAGAAGUAUAUAUAUAUAUAUUCACCAGAAAGUGAGGAGGAAGAGAAAGAGGAGGAAGGCGAAUAAGAAUAGAAGAUGGGCAGUGCAAACAAGAUUAAUGAGAGGUACUUGAAACUACAGAAGAGCAAGAAGAGCACCAAAACUAAGGUUUACUGCUCUUGAUUAUUUAUUUGUACUAUUACCUUUUUGAUGUGUUUUCCUAAUAGUUGUUGAAACUAUCCUUUCACUUGCUUUAGCAAAAUGUAAUUAUUGUUUAUAUGGGUGCCCAUGCUAUGAUUACUGGUGUUUCUUGACCUUUGUUUAUUCAGGAAUAUCUGUAAUUGGAAAGUUACUUAUCUACUUUGUUUUGCUUAGCAUUUAAAUGGACCAAAUAAUUUAGACAUAAUCCCCAUUUAAAAAAUUGUAUUGCUUGAUUACCAUAUUUAUGUUUGCUUAGCAUUUCAAGACUAACAUCCUGAUGCAAUUUUCAGUUCAGUUGAUUACUACUAAUUUGUUAUUAUUGUCAUGAAUAUGCACCUUGAGGAUGAUAAACGAAAGGUGCGCCCAACAAAGCGCUCUUGUGGAUGCACGGCAAUCUAAAUCUAAAUCUAUCAAGGUGCAAUUUAUCAGGUGUUGAGUGUAAUGUACCAUUUUCUGCUUUAAAGUGUUACUCUGGUUUGGGCCUUUUGGCAUCUGUGAUUACCAUAUAUAUUAUUUUAUUUCUCAUAUUGCAAGGCACACAACAAAGGAAGGGAAUGCACGAGUCAACAAAUGUGUAGUGUAGUUUACUAAAUUUAGUAAACCUGGCCUGCCUCAUCUCUGGCCUUUAAUAAUUCUUAUGCAUUUGUUAACAUUUUUUGAAUAAUUUCUCAUAUCAGCAAGAACAUUUUUUUGUUUCUAUUUCACUCUUAACACCAUGAGCCUUUAUCUGCAAGAAACUUUUUCAUUUCUGUUUCACUCUAACGCUGCACCUUUCGCCUUUUCAGGCUGCUUGGAAGAUCUUGCCAUCAGCUCCACCAUCCCUCACUUCCCUUCCACUGCUGUCAUGUAGUCUUUAGCAAUCAUGCCCUAUGAGUGAUCCUGCUGAUCAUCCAGUAAAAAAAGUUAAAAUGUCAUUCCCUUGGACUCAACUUGCCUGGUUCCUGCCCAUGUGUGUGUUUUGUACCAGCGGUCAUGUACAAGGACUAUCAUUUUAACUCUUGGUGUAGUCAUAAUCACUUCGAUUGGUUUGUUUCCUUACAACAUUUAUUCAUACCAAAUUCCUCAAAAUAAUGCUAUCCCAAAGACUCUGGUUUCUUGAACCAUUCUGCAGUUUUUGUCUCACUACUUGUAUCUACGUUUUUUAUCUUUAUUAUUUGACCUGUUUCAAACUAUCAGUCCAUCUCAAUCUAUAUUAGUUCUUGAAGGAAUAGUAAAUGGUUCUAUUGAUGGAAAUUGGAAUUGAGAAUACAUGCCUUGACAUAUAUAAGAACCUGUUUGUUGUUUGAUGAACUAGGAAAUAACUAAAAAUUAUUUGGACAGAGACAUCACAAAUGGAUCUGAUCACAAAUCACAAAUGUGACAAGCUUGCUAAGGUGAAACUGCUGAAGAUGUUGUAUGACUACUAUGCCGCGGGCACAUGACAUCAAUUGACUCAAGGAGAAAAGAGAGGCGUCAUCCAAAAUUCUGAGUUUGUUCGCUCUAUUAGAGUCCAGAGGCGGUACUGGGCGAGGAGCUAUGCUGGAUGGAUAAGGUUUAGGAGAGCACAACCAAAUGCAGCCCAUUACGCUCCUUCCCUUUCAUCUGUCUGCGCGCCUUCACUUUCAUCUGGCACUGGGAGUUCCUGUACAUAGACUUGUAAAAGCUGCCGACUCAGUUUCGGUAUGCCUAUCUAAAGGGUUAGGCGCACCCAUCAGAUCAGUUGUUGUUGGUUCAGAGGCCUUCAUCGACAAGGCUAGAAUUCUUAGGAAGACCCUAGGCGGUGGGAUGAGACAGGUUGGAUUUCUUUGUGCUGCUGCUUAUGUUGCUGUUCGUGACACCGUGGGAAAGCUUGCGGAUGAUCACAGGAAGGCUAAAGCCUUGGCAGAGGGCCUGACGAAAAUUAAACAGUUCACGGUGGAUUCAUCUUCGGUCGAGACCAAUAUGGUGUUCUUCGAUAUCGUGGAUCCACACAUUUCACCGAGCAAGCUAUGCCAAGUCUUGGAACAACGCAAUGUUCUUGCAAUGCCAGCAAGUUCAAAAAGUGUCAGGUUCGUCAUCCAUUACCAGAUUUUAGACAGUGAUGUUCAAUAUGCAUUGACAUGUGUCGAGAUGCCAAAAGGCCCAAACCAGAGUAACACUUUAAAGCAGACACAAUAAUCAAAAGUCAUGGCUACAAUGAAUGGCCCAACACACGUGUAUUUGCAACGUGCAAGGGUGACAAGAAUAUGAGCACUCUAAUGCACCACCCUUUUGGUAACUGGGCUGAUACAGUGAGUCGCUAUUUCGCAAGAUCGUCGUGGCCCUAUUGGGAACGGAGAUGCUCUUAAUGAAGUAGGAGGACCGACCAAUCCAACUAGCAACAGCAGGCAGGGAGUGGAUGCGCCUGCUAGAAGAGUGCUAGCUCCGCGCAUACGCUCGCUCGACAAACGUGUGUUGUUAACUAUUGUAUAUAGUGUUAUAAUUACUGUCCUUUAUUCUUGAUGUUUGUUUUGUAGUUGAAACUCACAUUGUUUUUUCAUUUCCAUCUCGAUUUUGUAUGCCGUGACCACGAAAGACUAAAUGUUUUCUUGCGGUUUCUAAAAAUAUAGCUCUCUAUUGUUGUGA